rnacentral:rRNA from 1 species
UACAGAGGUCCCAAGCGUUGUUCGGAUUCACUGGGCGUAAAGGGUGCGUAGGCGGCCGGGUAAGUCUGACGUGAAAUCUUCAAGCUCAACUUGGAAACUGCGUCGGAUACUGCUCGGCUCGAGGAAUGGAGGGGAGACUGGAAUACUUGGUGUAGCAGUGAAAUGCGUAGAUAUCAAGUGGAACACCAGUGGCGAAGGCGAGUCUCUGGACAUUUCCUGACGCUGAGGCACGAAAGCCAGGGGAGCAAACGGG